UUAAAACCCAAAUUUACCUGGAAACCGAAGUGAUUCGGUCCUGAACCUGCCGCUGCAUUAACCCCCUCCACCUCCGGUUGCUCUUACCCAUAAAAUAUUAAUUCCCCCUUAGGCCACAGACAGCGUAACCAUUGUCUGAGAAGAAUUCAGACUUCAGAGGAGUAAAAUCAAUGAAAAGCAGAAGAAGAAAAUAAGAAGGAAGCAGCAGGAGCAGCAUCACAGAGACAACGACAAUGACCAAUCUUGGUGGUUGGUUGACUGAGAGAGACAAAAACAUAAUUCUAGGCUUCGAGCGGAGGGAAGGGGACUCAUCUGCAACCCCCGGAUCUGGAUGAUACACUCCCAGAUCUGCUUCGAGCAAAGUGUAGUUUCAGCGGUUCCGGCAGUUUAAGAAACUCAGAUCUGAGAUCCAGUUAAGGGCAUUCAUCUGCAACUCCUAGAUCUGGGCAAAGGGAAGGGGACGGAGGGAAGGGGACGGAGGGAAGGGAAUUCAUCUACAACUCCUAUCUGGACGAUACACUCCCAGAUCUGCUUCGAGCGGAGGGAAGGGGAUUCAUCUACAACUCCCAGAUCUGAUUCAAGUGGAGGGAAGAGGACAAAGGGAAGGGGAUUCAUCUGUGGGAAGGGGAGGCGGCAACCAAGUACUUUCCAGAACCCAUUUCCACCCUAGAUCCUUGUUUGCAGGCAUGCCGAGACAUCUUCACGGCAUAUAUACCAGAAGGCCCAAAGUCAAUCUCCUUCUGGUAUUUCGAGAGCAGGCGUCCUCCUCCGGGGUGAUGAGUAUGGUUUUGGUCUUACUGGACAUGGUGUAGACGGCAUCGACUUUGACGAUCAUGAAUUCAUAAGAGAUGGAGACCCAGGUGCCAGUUGCCCCAUAUCCUUACAUCUGAGAUCCGGUUAUCAUCUGCCGUUCUGGCAGUUUCAGCGAUUUCGGUAGUUUCCGCGAUGAAAAUGAGAAGGAGAGAGAUCUAAGUAAUAGAGGGUAAAAUAGUCUUUUUCUCAUCUCUAUUGAUGUUAAUUAGUAAGAAGGAGUACUCAAUUGUUACAUUUAGUCAAUUAACUAAAUUAUAAGGAUAGUUUAAGAAAUUUACCUUUUAUAAAAAUUCUUUGUUGAA